rnacentral:rRNA from 1 species
UACGGAGGGUGCAAGCGUUGUCCGGAUUUAUUGGGUUUAAAGGGUGCGUAGGCGGUUAAUUAAGUCAGAGGUGAAAUCCUGGAGCUCAACUUCAGAACUGCCAUUGAUACUGGUUGACUUGAGUACAGACGAGGUUGGCGGAAUUGAUGGUGUAGCGGUGAAAUGCAUAGAUACCAUCAAGAACACCGAUUGCGAAGGCAGCUAACUAGGCUGUAACUGACGCUGAGGCACGAAAGUGUGGGGAUCAAACAGG